GGACCCUUAGCUCAGCAGGUUAGAGCAGCUGACUCAUAAUCAGCGGGUCGCUGGUUCGAGCCCAGCAGGGUCCA
rnacentral:tRNA from 1 species